UACGAAGGGGGCUAGCGUUGUUCGGAAUUACUGGGCGUAAAGCGCACGUAGGCGGGUCGUUAAGUCAGGGGUGAAAUCCCAGAGCUCAACUCUGGAACUGCCUUUGAUACUGGCGACCUAGAGUCCGGAAGAGGUUAGUGGAAUUCCCAGUGUAGAGGUGAAAUUCGUAGAUAUUGGGAAGAACACCAGUGGCGAAGGCGGCUAACUGGUCCGGUACUGACGCUGAGGUGCGAAAGCGUGGGGAGCAAACAGG
rnacentral:rRNA from 1 species